CAUUCACCUGAAAAUCUGCAUUCAGCUGAAUGGCUGCAAAGAUUGUGUUACUGGCUUCCCUGAUGUGACUGUGGCUGUGAUAGCUAGUGUUGCGACUCUUCUUCUCCAUGUGGCUCUGUAUGUUGGACUAAAACAUCUACAUAAGAAAACAACAUCCAUGACUAAUAAUGAUGGUAAUUCUGACACUGAAAUUAUCUACUCAGAUGUUAGUGUGAUGAAGAAUAUAAGGAAAAAUCGACCCACUUCACAUCAGCAUACAAAAUAAUUGUCUCCUA